GGUCAAUGAUGUGAUGUAAAAGGUCUGACAUCCAGCUCUCCUUCCAGUCCCUCAGUCUCUCCCAGCAGCCCCUGUUAAUAAUUUUCCAGCAUGCUCUAGUGGUGCAUUGCUGGAUAGAGGUGGCGGCUGAUAUUACGGACGUUUAUGCUGUAUAAUUAGUUUUUAUUGAGAUUUAUAAGACUUUGAUCAGCAUCGUCCAACAGAAACACCACACACAGGAGGCCCGGACUGAAGGAGAACAUUAAACUGGUGCAUGAUCUCAAGUUUUCAAGCUGAGACC
ensembl:scaRNA